AUGGAAAUCUCCCCCAACUCCGCCGCCGCCACCGCCGCCGCCACGGCGGCGGCUCCGGCCUCUUCCUCGACCUCCUCCCCAUCCGCCCCCAAGCGCCUCACCACCACGCUCCGCAUCCUCUGCCCCUCCAGCCGCGCGUCCGCGCUCCGCGGGGCGUCGCGGGACCUCCACGUGGACCAGCCCCCCGUCGGCGACGAGGCCGUGCUCUCCAUCUCCGGGCCGGACGCCCCCGCCGUGGCCGUGAGGGCGUGGGAGCGGGUCGUGGGGCACAGGGUCGGGGGCGACGAGGCCGCCGGGGAGGAGGAGAGGGAGGUGCCCGGCGUGGUGGGCUGCCGGAUGCUGGCGGCGAGCGGGCAGGUCGGGUGCGUGCUGGGGAAGGGAGGGAAGACGGUGGAGAGGAUGCGGCAGGAGAGCGGCGCGCAGAUCAGGGUGUUCCGGAACAGGGAUCAGCUCCCUCCCUGGGCUGCGCCGGUGGACGAGCUUAUCCAUAUAAGUGGGAACUUUUCUGCAGUAAGGAAAGCAUUAUUGUUAGUUACAACCUGCCUUCAAGAUAACCCUAGGCCAGAUGCAAGCAACUUUCCACCUGGAAGAUUUGGGCCUCCUGGCCCAGUUGGCAUAGAUCCUCAUUCUCAAAGAGGCUAUUUACCACCAUCCAUGCCUGAUUAUCAUGCAAGGAAUUAUUCAAGUAAUAUGGCUGCCCCCGGUCCUAGAUUCUUUGUUGAACAAGAGAUAGUCUUCAGGAUGAUAUGUCUCAAUGAAAUGGUGGGGAGCAUAAUCGGAAAAGGUGGUUCAACUAUUCGCGCAUUACAAAGUGAAACUGGUGCUUCGAUUAAGAUUAUAGAGCCUAAUUCUGAUUCAGAAGAACGUGUAAUUGUGAUAUCUGCACAUGAGAAUUCUGAGAUGAUGCAUUCUCCAGCUCAGGAUGCAGUACUUCGGGUGCAUUCUAGAAUCUCGGAGUCAUCGAUGGAUAAAAGUUCUGCUGUAACUGCAAGACUUCUUGUACCAUCACAGCAUAUUGGUUGCUUACUAGGCAAAGGUGGUUCUAUCAUCGCAGAAAUGAGAAAAAUAACAGGAGCUGGUAUCCGAAUUUUCGGGAAUGAACAAAUUCCAAGAUGUGCACAACGAAAUGAUGAGCUAGUUCAGGUCACAGGUAGUUUUCAAUCCAUUCAGGAUGCAUUGCUUCAUAUCACUGGAAGGAUUAGAGAUGUCAUCAUUCCCAUGAAGCCACAUCCAGGUGGAGGUAUGCCCCCAUAUCCACCUGGUGGAAACGCUCCACCUCACCACCCAAGACAAGAACCAGCACCACCGCAUCCCACUGGAGGCAUGCCUCCAUAUCCUAUGCCUUCUUUCAGAGCUGAUCGUCCUAUGGGUCCUUUUGAUAUGGUCGAUCAUCGACCACCUCCCCCUCAUUCAAUGGAGCACAUGGGUGCUGAUAGGAUGCCCUACUCAUAUGGUUGUGAACAAGGAGGUGGUCCUCGACCUUUUCUGGACCAGCCAUCACCAAGUGCCUGGGCUCCUGAGGCACCAAACAGUGAAGCUCCAAGAAAUAUGCCUGAGACAGUACCACCUGCAGAUUUCAGAAAGGGAGCAGUGGCAGGAACAAAUCAAGUGGCUACACCAUCUAAUGCAACUGAAGUCAUUAUUCCCCGCAAGUACAUAGGUUUUAUUUGUGGAGCCAAUGGCAGUGACCUUGCUGAGAUAAAGAAGAUGUCAGGUGCCACAAUUACUGUCCAUCAUCCAAAACCUGGGGAUGCAAAUGCAUUGGUUAUUAUAUGUGGGGAUCCUGACCAAACUAAGAAGGCACAAAGCCUACUUCACGCGUUCAUCUUUUGUGGUCUCUACCAAACUUAGCCCUGAGCUUUCAGAAAUGGCCAUGAAGCAUGAGUGUCUAUGUGUUUUGCAUGUCGAUGUUGCUCUGGAUCUUCAGCUGGAUUUUCCGUAUGGUCGUACGAGGGAUUUUUUUCCAGGAAACUCAUCAGUGGUCACUGGUCACAGAUGCAACUGUUCUUUUGUGCUAUCUGGUAAGUCUUGACUUGCUGGAUCAUAGACGACCUCCUCCGAUGUACAAGCAACGACGCUGGCAGUGUCAAUCAGCUAGCUCGUCUUUGCUUGGAAUCCAAAUUUUUGUCACAGCCAUUCCCAGUUCAAUUCAAUUUGGCAAAAUCAUUUGGCAAGCUUUACUACCACAAGCAAUGAAAUGCAAGUUGGCUGGUCAGUUUUACGAACUCGAAUUCCUUGCUGAGCUAGAAACUUCGCAUGACACAGCAUAGUUUCUUGGAAACAUAAGGAGAGCACAGGAAAUUGGAAUAUGCAGGACAUCUCACGGAUGCACUCAAAAUCAUAUCUACCAAUUGGCAGAGGCGACGCUAGACUUUGGCAUGAAGGUCUUCCCAGUUCCCAAUGAACUUGUAGGCAAUUGCAAGCCUGACAUUUGUGGCAUCCUGUUGCUAUGCUUUUUGGGUUGUAAUGUAUUGCUUCCCUUGCUUUGAACAAUGAACAAGUCACACGAGCUUUCUUUGAUCUGAAGCAUCUCUUGCUGUCAAAGCAUAGGUGUUGGCUGGUCACCUGCUAUGGCUUUUAGCCAGAUAAGAGCAAGUUUUACAGAAGGGGUAAUUGUCACAUUUAAUUUUAUUCAUGUAAGAUAAGAGAACAUCUAAUUUUAUUCAAAGUAGUCGUAAUCUGUGUAAUUAGUUAUUUUUAAGCCUAUAUUUAAUACUUCAUAUAGGUGUUCAAACGUUUGAUGUGAUAGGGUGUAAAAUUUUGUGGUGGGAUCCAAA